GGUGCGUAACGCGUAUGCAACCUACCUCAAUCAGGGGGAUAGCCCGAAGAAAUUCGGAUUAACACCGCAUAAAAACACAGUACAGCAUUGUACAAUGUUCAAAUAUUUAUAGGAUUGAGAUGGGCAUGCGUGUCAUUAGCUAGUUGGCGGGGUAACGGCCCACCAAGGCGACGAUGACUAGGGGAUCUGAGAGGAUGACCCCCCACACUGGUACUGAGACACGGACCAGACUCCUACGGGAGGCAGCAGUAAGGAAUAUUGGUCAAUGGAGGCAACUCUGAACCAGCCAUGCCGCGUGCAGGAAGACAGCCCUCUGGGUCGUAAACUGCUUUUAUUCGGGAAUAAACCUACUUACGUGUAAGUAGCUGAAUGUACCGAAGGAAUAAGGAUCGGCUAACUCCGUGCCAGCAGCCGCGGUAAUACGGAGGAUCCAAGCGUUAUCCGGAUUUAUUGGGUUUAAAGGGUGCGUAGGCGGCUUAUUAAGUCAGGGGUGAAAGACGGUGGCUCAACCAUCGCAGUGCCCUUGAUACUGAUGAGCUUGAAUGAACUAGAGGUAGGCGGAAUGUGACAAGUAGCGGUGAAAUGCAUAGAUAUGUCACAGAACACCGAUUGCGAAGGCAGCUUACUAUGGUUUUAUUGACGCUGAGGCACGAAAGCGUGGGGAUCAAACAGGAUUAGAUACCCUGGUAGUCCACGCCCUAAACGAUGAAUACUCGCUGUUAGCGAUAUACAGUUAGCGGCUAAGCGAAAG
rnacentral:rRNA from 1 species